rnacentral:lncRNA from 1 species
CGGAAGGCAACGACGUGUGACGACGACCUCAGCCUGCAACGUGAGCUCCCUGACUGACAACAAACACAUUUCGGUUGCAGACUUGUCUUGUUCUGAAAAUGGCAGUUGUUGUUGUAGCUUAGGGCGGUGAGCCUGUUCUUUGCUCUUCCUCGACGACCUUUCUGCGGUCAUGCCUCCUGGCUAUCGCUGCGAGUUUGGUUGAUCCAUGGUCGUAUGGGGAAUAUGUGCAUCGGUAUGUAUGUGUGGGCUUUAAGCAUGCUUCUGAGAAAAAAUUCUAUCCAAUUUAAACACUGCAUGUCUACCAUGCUUGUGGCAUGGGGGGGUUACUUGAGGGAAUAAGACUGGUUGUUAGUUUGCUUAUUAGUAGCUCUGUUCCAUGGCGAUAUUGUACUUAAAUGUGCACAUGUGGAUUUUAAGCAUGCUUUUUUUGUCUUAUCUCUGUAUCUGGUCCUCUUUGUCUGGAAUUCUAAGGCCAUUAAAUUUAUGAUUGAAAAGAUGAGUUGCUAUAUGUGGGCUUCUAGGUCUCCUGUAGUUUCUAAAACACAUGCAUUUAUAUGUCAUGUUCUGUUAUUCCUAAAGAUAAAAGACUCCUUUGUAUUGUUGAAAACUCUCCUAUAGUUUCAGAAACAUGUUGCAUCUUCAGCCUGCAUGUAUCUUGUGUAUUCUUCUUUUGGUCCUAAGUACAAGGACCUUCGUUUUGACCGGUGGGCCAAAAGAGUGGUAGUUUGUGAGGGAUGUUCUCUGAGCGUAUGUGACUAGCAGCCUGACGAUAAUUGGCGAAUAUAUUUUUUAUGACACGAUUGAAGAGAUGUGAUCACGUGCAAGGAAAGUUUUCAAGUGACUAGUGGCUAGUUUUGUUAGUACUUAUGUAGUGUGGGAAAUAUGCACAGGUAUGUCCAUGUGAUGUUUAAGCAUGCUUCUUGAAUACCCGAAUUCCUAAUACAGAGCUUUGUAACUAGCAUUCUUUAUCUGAUAAUCUGUUGCCUGCUAGACAUGAUUUACAGUAUGUGUAUUGCUAGUUCUCUCAUAGUAUCAGAAACGCAUGACUUAAUCUAUCCUUUUUUUGUUAAUCCUGAGGAUAAAACUCAUAUUUGUAUGUUGCUUAACUCUCCCAUAGCUUUAGUGCAUCAUCAAACUGCAUGUAUCUGUGUUCUUCUUGUGGUCCCGAGGGUAAAAGAUCAUCUUUGUUUUGCAGAUUGGUAAGCCCAUGAGAAUAUGUUCAAGCGCUCCGGAGAAUAUGUUCAUAGGACCAAAGAUCUUCUCACCAGCUAUAAAGGCAUUGAGUGGCAGGUAUGCACUGCCAACAUCGAGGUUCUCUUUGUUUCGAACACACACAUAAAUAUUCUACGGUUGAUUUUGUAGAGGCCACAAAUGAGGACCCUGGGUUUUGUUCUUUCUGUUGUUUACAUGCCCAGGAAAGUGCCUUCUUGUUGUUGAAGCUAACUUUGAUAGGCUUAUGCUGGCUUCCUUUCUUGGAAAAGCCCAUGAUUUUGUUGCAACUCCAAAUUACCGAGUUAGGAUAGGAAUAAGGAGAAGCCAAAUCUAAUUCUUAUAUAGUAAUGAAACAUAUAUACAUUGAAAGGUCAUUUAUGUUUCUCCAGAUGGACCCAUGAAUCAUUAUAUUCUGGAAACCAAAAAUAUAUGAUGCACCAAAUAUUCUUAAACUGCUUGGAUGAGCACCCAGCUACUAGAGGAACUUUCGGGAUUUUAACUUUUUAAGUGUAAAUUUUCUCUUUCAACAUGUAAAUACUCCAAAUUUUUUUUACUUUAGUAGCUUGUCUCGUCCUGUAACAUUGGUACUUUAGUCAUUCAGAUAGAGUUCAUUGAUUUUUUACAUUCAUUGUUCAGUGUACCUGUGUUGGACAACUCUGCCUUGCAAAUCACGUUACAGGGGAGCAAUUUGCUCUUGUUCGGAAUUGAGGUGACAAUUAUCUUUUGCAUCUUUCUUUUGUUGUUGCUCAUGCAUCAAUAAUGUUUAUUUAUGCUUGUGGCAAUGGAUAAAAAUGAACUUAUUGAGCUCAUUUGUUGUAUGAUGCAGAAUGUGCCUUCAAAGCAACUCCUUGGGCGUGCUUGUGGAGUGACUAGCAACGAGGGUAGCUAGCUGAAACAGCCGAUCCAGAGUCUCAAGGUGAUCCCAUUGCUUCCACAUUUUGUGAUAUUUGCUGAUUUCUAAAUAACUGUAUAACCAUCUGUGUUUAUGUUAAUCGGCGAUCCCAAGAUUGUCAUGUUAAUCAUGCUGCCAUUAUGUCGUCAUCUUAUAUUUGUGACUCGUGCUAUCAAUAAGAACAUGUGUCAUGGCUGUUGAAUUCCUCCCUAGACUCAACAAAUGCUGAAAUGGCUAAUGGUUUAUGAGUUUGAGAAUUGGGAGCUACCUACUAGUGUACGUACGAUUGCUCAUGUUGUGGAUUAUCUUUCCAGUUGUUAUGUUUAGUCAAACCUAUAGUAUCGGCUAUAAUCUGCAUCUUGCUAUAACCCUAUUGCUUGUGUGUAUUGAUCACGUCGUGUGCUCAUAUGAGUUUUUCCAGGUUAAGAAUCUUGAACUUUGACUAAAAAUAAAUCACAACUCAAGUUUCCUUUAUAAAGCAUCGCAAAUACAUAUGCCACUCAAGUAUGAAGAGCACUUAUGUCUCUUGUUAUGAUGUAUGUGCCUAUUAUAUAUAGUUGUGUUGGGUUUUUUUGUCUUUAGAAGAGGAUUGUUUUAGUUAGGUGUCUUCUCUCUUUAAAAUACACAGGGAUCAGGUUGGUGGAGCUCUGACUCGUUAACCUUAAUUUAAAUUCACAACACUAUGCCUUGUAGUUAGGUGCCUCCUCGUCGAAGUCUGAAUAGUCACUGCCAUGCCGCAGAUUUUGAAUUACUAGUCCAGAUUUGUCUACUUUAGUUUGAUUACGAAUGAUAACAAGUUUGCACCCUUAUCUUUGCUCUGUUUUAUUUCCCUAGGUACCUUAUUUUGUCCAGUCAACAUCUCUGAAUUCUCUCCUAACGGCAGCAGGUGACUUCCUCACCAGCAACAUUUUUUAAAACAUGUUGGUGAUGUUUGCACAGGAGCUCGGUGUUGCUUCCAUACUCUGUUCUGUUGGUCAAGUUGGUGCUGCUCCCUCUGCAGUGCAGGAGAACAAUACCCAUAGAGAUGUGUGGAGUGGGCUAUGUCAUCCUUUGACCACCAUGAUUGGCUUCUACCGACGAGGUGAGGUGAUUGAUCUUUUUGAUGUUCAAUUCAUCAAUUGUCAUUUCAAAUCCUUGGACUGGUGGCCGAGAUUGUAUUAGUUAUUCGUAGAGAUAUAUUUUGUACCAAAGUUAAAUUAGUAAGCUUCAGUAUUUGUGCAUGUGUCUUUUCCCUUUCGAGCAAAUGAAGUCCCUGUUAGAAAAUUUUAGGAUCAGAUGUUUUAUCCUUUGUGAUGCAAUCAAAGGCUAAAGAUUUCAUCUCACUAUUGGUUGAGAUUUUAGAUUUUCUUUGACCAGAGCAGUGUCCAUCAAUUUUAGGAUCAGAUGUUUUAUCCUUUGUGAGAAUUUCUAGCUUCUAUGAAUAUACAAUCAUCAACUCUGUACCAAACAUAUCGUAUGUUGUUCAGGCUCAUGUAGCUCUAAUAUUGAGUGCCUCAAAAUAGAACUCUCCGAAAAAUUCCAGUAACUUUAUAACAGCUUCAUUUUAUAUUCCAAGCACUUGGCUUCAAUGGUGAACAAAGCAUCCACCUGACAGCCCUACAGCUUCAUGUUUGAUGUUUUUUGUCAGGAUUUAUGGCUUUUAUUAGUAUACAUGUUUACCUCCAAUCUGGUAGUGGUACUUUUAUGUCUAGAGUUGCUUCUGCUAGCUACACCCUCUGCAAAGUCAUUUAUAUGUUGGUUGUUGCAGCAGCGCCGGCUUGUGGCCCUUGGUGUCUAGAACGGUGAUGAAGACGAUAACAAAGACGAUUGUGGCCUGUACGAAGGCUUCUAGGCAGUGGAUAAGAAGCAGGGCCACCUUGUCCUGGUGCUCUCAGGUGAGAAUGGCCCUUAGUCUAACAUGCCCGAGUUGUAAUAUGGCAUGAUUGAGGAGCUUCCUUUACUAGAUUAUUUUGGAAGUGUUAAAAACUAAGACUGUUGGUUGUUGUGCAUCAGAUGCCUGAGUUUGGUGCCUAUCGAGAUUGACGAUGAAGAUGUCAUUGCCCGCAUACGUGCCAGGGCACGAAAGAGAGAAGAAGUGGCCCCCGAGAGUCGAGAUGUGGAAAGCCCUAGGUAAAGUGGCAAGAUGACCAGACGUGCAACUUGUGCUUUUCUUUGUUGGCUGGAGGUUGCUGCUGAAGUGAUAUUGACGUGCUGGUGCUGGUACAUAGACAGGCCUGGUUUACUUGAUGGUGGCUGACUUGUCGGCUGGCGUGUAUUGAGCCGAAGAAGUAGUAGUGUUGAAUUCUAAGCUCUUGUUGAUGUUUUUUUAUUUUCUCGUGUGAGAGGGUGAUAUAUCAAGUGUAAAGUUUUGCAUGCUUGUUUCUAUGGAUCUGUUUGAAAUGAAACUGAGACUUGUGUGUCAGGCCUGUCUAUCAGUCUCUUAAUGUUCCUCACGCUAUGCAAUGCAUAAUAUCUAUCUGUUGGAAGGAUCAUCUAAAUCUGGUCCCUCGUGAUAUGCCAUGCAGGUGAUGUCAUCGACGACGGGUCCAUUGGAGUCGGUCUUGGUUUGAGGUGAGGUGAGGUGAGGUAUAUGUAAUCGUUUUAGCGAUUCUUAGAUUUGUUCCCUUGUCCAUCUGAUACUCUCUAGUCUACUAGCUAGAUAGUGUAUCAUGAUGGCUGUCGUGACCGUGAGUGCGUACACAAGCUACAUUUUCUGCGUUAAUUGUGGUAUGCUAAAUAGAUCUGACCAGGCUUUUGCCGUGAACAUCUAUUUGGACCUGCGUUCAAAACUACUUGAGUAUUUAUUUUCAGAAUUUUUU